rnacentral:tRNA from 1 species
GAACGGGUGGCUCAGUGGUAGAGCACGUGCUUAGCAUGCACAAGGUCCUGGGUUCAAUCCCCAGCGCCUCCA